GGAAUUAUCGGCCUACAAUUCA
rnacentral:siRNA from 1 species